rnacentral:rRNA from 1 species
GAAUUCGCCCUUAGAGUUUGAUCCUGGCUCAGGACGAACGCUGGCGGCGUGCUUAACACAUGCAAGUCGAACGAGAAUCAAUGGAUCGAGGAUUCGUCCAAGUGAAGUUGAGGACAGUGGCGGACGGGUGAGUAACGCGUGAGGAACCUGGCUUUCAGAGGGGGACAACAGUUGGAAACGACUGCUAAUACCGCAUAACGCAUAAGAGUCGCAUGGCUUUUAUGCCAAAGAUUUAUCGCUGAAAGAUGGCCUCGCGUCUGAUUAGCUAGUUGGCGGGGUAACGGCCCACCAAGGCGACGAUCAGUAGCCGGACUGAGAGGUUGAACGGCCACAUUGGGACUGAGAUACGGCCCAGACUCCUACGGGAGGCAGCAGUGGGGAAUAUUGGGCAAUGGGCGCAAGCCUGACCCAGCAACGCCGCGUGAAGGAAGAAGGCUUUCGGGUUGUAAACUUCUUUUGCAAGGGACGAGAAGAAGACGGUACCUUGCGAAUAAGCCACGGCUAACUACGUGCCAGCAGCCGCGGUAAUACGUAGGUGGCAAGCGUUGUCCGGAUUUACUGGGUGUAAAGGGCGUGUAGCCGGGUCGGCAAGUCAGAUGUGAAAUCUAUGGGCUCAACUCAUAAACUGCAUUUGAAACUGUUGAUCUUGAGUAUCGGAGAGGCAAUCGGAAUUCCUAGUGUAGCGGUGAAAUGCGUAGAUAUUAGGAGGAACACCAGUGGCGAAGGCGGAUUGCUGGACGACAACUGACGGUGAGGCGCGAAAGCGUGGGGAGCAAACAGGAUUAGAUACCCUGGUAGUCCACGCUGUAAACGAUGAAUACUAGGUGUGCGGGGACUGACCCCCUGCGUGCCGCAGCUAACGCAAUAAGUAUUCCACCUGGGGAGUACGAUCGCAAGGUUGAAACUCAAAGGAAUUGACGGGGGCCCGCACAAGCGGUGGAUUAUGUGGUUUAAUUCGAAGCAACGCGAAGAACCUUACCAGGGCUUGACAUCCUACUAACGAAGUAGAGAUACAUCAGGUGCCCUUCGGGGAAAGUAGAGACAGGUGGUGCAUGGUUGUCGUCAGCUCGUGUCGUGAGAUGUUGGGUUAAGUCCCGCAACGAGCGCAAUCCCUAUUGUUAGUUGCUACGCAAGAGCACUCUAGCGAGACUGCCGUUGACAAAACGGAGGAAGGUGGGGACGACGUCAAAUCAUCAUGCCCCUUAUGUCCUGGGCUACACACGUAAUACAAUGGCGGUCAACAGAGGGAUGCAAAACCGUGAGGUGGAGCGAACCCCUAAAAGCCGUCCCAGUUCAGAUUGUGGGCUGCAACCCGCCCACAUGAAGUCGGAAUCGCUAGUAAUCGCGGAUCAGCAAGCCGCGGUGAAUACGUUCCCGGGCCUUGCACACACCGCCCGUCA